GGGCCCGCACAAGCGGUGGAGCAUGUGGUUUAAUUCGAUGCAACGCGAAGAACCUUACCUGGGUUUGAAAUAGACAAGACAAGUGCCAGAAAUGGCCUUCUCGCAAGAGCUUGUUUACAGGUGCUGCAUGGCUGUCGUCAGCUCGUGUCGUGAGAUGUUGGGUUAAGUCCCGCAACGAGCGCAACCCUUGCCUUUAGUUGCCAGCAUUUAGUUGGGCACUCUAGAGGGACUGCCGACGUUAAGUCGGAGGAAGGUGGGGAUGACGUCAAGUCCUCAUGGCCCUUAUAUCCAGGGCUACACACGUGCUACAAUGGCGGUCACAAAGGGCAAUAGCCAAGUCGCGAGAUGGAGCUAAUCCCAUAAAAGCCGUCUAAGUUCGGAUUGCAGUCUGCAACUCGACUGCAUGAAGCUGGAAUCGCUAGUAAUCGUGGAUCAGCAUGCCACGGUGAAUACGUUCCCGGGCCUU
rnacentral:rRNA from 1 species